AUACGUAGGGUGCGAGCGUUAAUCGGAAUUACUGGGCGUAAAGCGUGCGCAGGCGGUUUUGUAAGACAGUGGUGAAAUCCCCGGGCUCAACCUGGGAACUGCCAUUGUGACUGCAAGGCUGGAGUGCGGCAGAGGGGGAUGGAAUUCCGCGUGUCGCAGUGAAAUGCAUAGAUAUGCGGAGGAACACCGAUGGCGAAGGCAAUCCCCUGGGCCUGCACUGACGCUCAUGCACGAAAGCGUGGGGAGCAAACAGGAUUAGAUACCCUGGUAGUCCACGCCCUAAACGAUGUCAACUGGUUGUUGGGAAUUUAUUUUCUCAGUAACGAAGCUAACGCGUGAAGUUGACCGCCUGGGGAGUACGGCCGCAAGGUUGAAACUCAAAUGAAUUGACGGGG
rnacentral:rRNA from 1 species